GAGGAGGCGCCGAGCAGGGCGCCGCCUGGGCCGGGCCGAGGAGCCGCCGGGCCAGGCCGAGGAGCCGCCGAGAAGCCGCGAGGUGGGGCCGGGUCGGGCCGAGGAGCCGCUGUGGAGCUGCCCGGCCAGGCCGAAGAGGUGCCGAGCAGGGCGCCGCCUGGGCCGGGCCGAGGAGCCGCUGUGGAGUCGCCGAGAAGCCGCGAGGUGGGGCCGGGCCGAGGAGGCGCUGAGCAAAGUGAAGCCUGGGCCUGGCCGAAGAGCCGCUGAGUGGGGCAGGACCGGGCCGACCGUAGGCUGUGGGGCCGCCGGCCUGGACCGAGGAGCCGCCGUGGACGCAUGCCUUAUUUACGCUGGUCAACAAGCUCCUCGGCAGGAAAGAAGUUUCAUCUGGUCAAAAGCAUCGUGCAACCUAAGGCACUGUGAAAACAGCAGAAGAGCAGCAAGAUGGGAGGUGAAGGAACCCAAAUCCUUGGAGGGCACCUAAAGUCGAGUCCCAGACUGCGUUGGUGUAGCCAGAAAGCAUCAGUGUACAGUGGGCAAGAACGCAUGGCUGAAGAAGGGAAGGUAAGGGAAGCAUGGGAGGGUAGAGAUGGCCUUGUGGGAUGGCAGGGGGGGGUGCUUGGCAGGGAGAGGGGCUUGGUGAUGGCCCUGCACUAUUUCUCUCUGACUCUUGCUCCUUCCCUCAGCUCUCUGGCCACCCUGCUCAAAGGGGUAGAAUCUAGCUCCUGGGCCACAUGCCUGAGUGCAUGAAGGACAGAUUUUAAAAGGCCCAAGGCAUGUGCAGCAGCUCAGGGCACUCCGGGGCCCAGACAAGAGCCCUUCUGGCCGUGGCACACGGCUUGACAAGCCAGCUAAAGAGGGCCUGGCUCAGGUCUGGUCCAUGCUAGAGGAGUAGAUCAAUUCCAGUAUCGCAGUAAGGGCUGUGAAACAUCCACCCCUGAGGGGCAGUGCUAAGACAACUUGCAUCCCUGUGUAGCUAGUGGAAACAUGCUGCACUAAACACUCAGCCCAGGUUGAAAGGACAGUGCCCUAUGGCCUGUACUGGUUGGCCCAGUGUAGGAACACAAAGGGUCCAGGGGGAAGCAUGCAGGCCAGCUGUUUACAGCAAGGAUACUUUGGUCCCUUUUCACACAAACACCCUGCACUGCCCUAGAGAAUCUUAUUUUAGUUCUGCCCCGGCAGGCCCGUUGGCUCUGACUGGUAAUCAGGGGAGGGGCCUUGCCCUGAUGCUGGCAUACAGCAGGAAGUGUGCUGGUGUCAAAGAGAUGCAGGAGCAGUAGCUGGGCAGGGAGGGAAGCACUUUAAUAUGCCCCCCAUACAGGCAGCAUAGAAGUGGUCUCUCUUGCUUCUUCAAAGACUUACUGUCUUUUAAAGUGGUGGAAGGGGUGAAGUUCCUCAGCUCCUUCCCAAUUUCAGCCAUUGCCACUGAAAGGGCAGGAAAGACCAGCUCUGUUCCAAAAACAGUCGUGGGGUACCUUUAAAGACUAACAGAUUUAUUUAUCACAUGAGCUUUCAUGGGUGAAAAUUCCACAAUUGUUCUGUUCCUGGCAUGUAUUACAGUUAAACUUUAAUGUUUACUUUUAAUGUGUACAGAAUCUCUUAUGCUGUAAUUCUGCUACUCAAUAAAAUUGUUG
rnacentral:lncRNA from 1 species